UACGAAGGGGGCUAGCGUUGCUCGGAAUCACUGGGGCGUAAAGCGCACGUAGGCGGCUUUCUAAGUCAGGGGUGAAAUCCUGGAGCUCAACUCCAGAACUGCCUUUGAUACUGGGAGCUCGAGUCCGGAAGAGGUGAGUGGAACUCCGAGUGGUAGAGGUGAAAUUCGUAGAUAUUCGGAAGAACACCAGUGGCGAAGGCGGCUCACUGGUCCGGUACUGACGCUGAGGUGCGGAAAGCGUGGGGGAGCAAACAGG
rnacentral:rRNA from 1 species